UUGCAAUUUGAUUUUCUUGGUCUCUUGCU
rnacentral:piRNA from 1 species